CCUACGGGUGACAGCAGUGAGGAAUAUUGGUCAAUGGGCGGAAGCCUGAACCAGCCAAGUCGCGUGAGGGAAUAAGGCCCUACGGGUCGUAAACCUCUUUUGCCGGGGAGCAAGGGCCGGGACGAGUCCCGGUCCGGAGAGUACCCGGAGAAAAAGCAUCGGCUAACUCCGUGUCAGCAGCCGCGGUAAUACGGAGGAUGCGAGCGUUAUCCGGAUUUAUUGGGUUUAAAGGGUGCGUAGGCGGGCUUUUAAGUCAGCGGUAAAAAUUCGGGGCUCAACCCCGUCCGGCCGUUGAAACUGGGGGCCUUGAGUGGGCGAGAAGAAGGCGGAAUGCGUGGUGUAGCGGUGAAAUGCAUAGAUAUCACGCAGAACCCCGAUUGCGAAGGCAGCCUUCCGGCGCCCGACUGACAUUGAUGCUCGAAAGUGUGGGUAUCAAACAGGAUUAGAUACCCGGGUAGUC
rnacentral:rRNA from 1 species